GGCCCCGUUGACCAUGGGUUAGGUUGCGAGGUUUUCACCCGCGCAGAAGCGGGUUCGAGUCCCGCCGGGCUG
rnacentral:tRNA from 1 species